GCGCUCGUAGCUCAACUGGAUAGAGCGACAGACUUCGGAUCUGUAGGCUAUGGGUUCGAUUCCUAUCGGGCGCACCA
rnacentral:tRNA from 1 species